GACGAACGCUGGCGGCGUGCCUAAUACAUGCAAGUCGAACGCUUCUUUCCUCCCGAGUGCUUGCACUCAAUUGGAAAGAGGAGUGGCGGACGGGUGAGUAACACGUGGGUAACCUACCCAUCAGAGGGGGAUAACACUUGGAAACAGGUGCUAAUACCGCAUAACAGUUUAUGCCGCAUGGCAUAAGAGUGAAAGGCGCUUUCGGGUGUCGUUGAUGGAUGGACCCGCGGUGCAUUAGCUAGUUGGUGAGGUAACGGCUCACCAAGGCCACGAUGCAUAGCCGACCUGAGAGGGUGAUCGGCCACACUGGGACUGAGACACGGCCCAGACUCCUACGGGAGGCAGCAGUAGGGAAUCUUCGGCAAUGGACGAAAGUCUGACCGAGCAAUGCCGCGUGAGUGAAGAAGGUUUUCGGAUCGUAAAACUCUGUUGUUAGAGAAGAACAAGGACGUUAGUAACUGAACGUCCCCUGACGGUAUCUAACCAGAAAGCCACGGCUAACUACGUG
rnacentral:rRNA from 1 species